rnacentral:lncRNA from 1 species
AAAAGGUAGCGGGUUACAUGCUGUGGUAGAAAGAUAUUUUUCGUUGGCUUGGGGAGCAAGCUAGAGGGGUUUUUUCUUUUUUUUCUUUUUUUGGCUUUUGAAAAGGAAGGAGGGUUGGGAGAUGAAGAAAUCGGGAUCAAGGAGAUACCUCAGAGAGAACAUAGGUGAGCUUGAGACGGAAUGAGAGGCGUUUUGGAGAGGAGAACUGGAAGCUAAC